CAGGAAACCCCUUCAUCUUUGAGCCCAUCCGUGCCACAUCCAUCUGAGAACUCCGGUAAGUGCCCUAUUUAUUCAUGUUUUCAUCACUGACGGAUGUUUAGUACAAGUAAUUCAGCGGGGGGGGGGACCCUAGAAUCUGAAUUUCUCUGAUUUCUCCCGUAGGUCUCUUAACAGUUAUUUUGCUGUCAGAGCGAACCUGCUGGACAGUCUCUAAAACGAUGGAGGCUCCUUUUAAUUUAGAACUCAGAACAAAUUACAUGGAGACAUAACAGGACAGAGCAGUAAUCAUGUGUGAAGAAGGAAAGGCUAACAGUGGGGAUCCUACUGCUAAUGAGAAGAGUGACUGCAAUGGGAACAGUAAAAAUGAACCAAAGGCUUCUGAAAAUACAGAACUGAUGAUUGAGCCCUUACAAGGGGCAGAACCACGUGGUUGUGGAUGGAGAGCAAACCUGAGGGAGAUGCCAUUUUGGAUACGUGUUACAAUAGUCGGUGCCAUCGCUUCUGUUGUCUGUGUCAUCACUGCUUUUGUUGUCUUGGAUGCCACUGGUGAGUUCUCAACCCUCUUCUCGAUCCUCCUCUUUGACUGAUAUUUUGCAGUUUCUGCCUCUAUGUCUGCCUGUCACUGGGUCUGCAUAGUUUCCCUCUGCACCUCCAGCCUGGCUCUGGCUGCCCUGCCACAGCAGCACCAGAAACAGCAGCCACACCCCGUCCAGCAGCCCUGGGAAGGGCCGUUGGAUGGCAACUACCAGCACGUUCUCCUUGAUGGGGUGGUCUACUCCCCUUCCAUGCCUGAUGCUGCUCUUGUGCUGGGCUGGGGGUAGCUGGCUCACCCUGCCCACCAGAGAGCCUUGGCAGGCAGGGACAUUGGAGUGGCAGUGGAAGGGGGGGGGAGAGAGAGAACAGAUGGAUGGUGCCACCCUGGCCAACUCAGUGGCAAAACAGAGUGUGGGUGUGCUCUGGGGCGACCACCCCUCUGCCCCUUACAGUACACCGCUGCCUACAACUCAUAGCUAAAAGGUCUAACAUAUACUAUAAAACAAUCACAGCCCAUUCUAGACAGUAAAAUAAAAAGUAAUUGCACGUACGCUUCA
rnacentral:lncRNA from 1 species